ensembl:lncRNA
CCUCUAGGUCAUCACAGAGCACCAGGCUGAGCUCCCUGUGUUAUUUAGCAACUUCUCAGUAGCUAUUUUACACAUGAUAGUGUAUAUAUGUCAUUGCUACUUUCUCAGUUUGUCCCAUCCUCAGCUUCCCUACUGUGUUCACAAGUGCAUUCUCUGCUAGGUUACUCUUCUUUAACAGUGUGGUUCAUUUUGAGCCAGUGAUUCUAAUGUUACCAAAUACAGUGUUGUCUAGUUGCCUGAUACUGAGACAUCUUUGGUUUCUGUGAAGAACUGUGCUACUCAUACUACUUAACAUCUAGACUUACGUAAGAGAAAAGGGAUUUUUGUUAAUAUUGUUUGGUCAGAAUAGCAGGUUUUUUUCCUGCUUAUUUCUAAAUGUUAUAGUAUCAGCCUUUUAUACCUAUAUGGUUUCAAACAAUAUUACCAUGGGAUAUUAUGGUGAGUCAAUUCUCCAAUGACUUGAAAACUUCAGCCAGUCAUGUUCACUGUUAGGCUAAAAAGCAAAACAACAGACUUAGGGGAAGAGUGUGUGUGUGUAUGUGUGUGUAAUCAUCACACACAAAUAUUCUUAACAGCCCCUUGCUCUAAUUUGCCCAUGAAGUCUGUGCUUUUAUCUUUUAUCAAGAAUUUGCAUCUACAGCCUCCCAAGUCAAAAGAAAUAGAAGUAAAAAUUUUAAAUGAGACCUAAUCAAACAUAAGCUUUUGCACAGCAAAUAAUAAUAAUAAGCAAAUGAAAAGAUAACCUAUGAACUGGGAGAAAAUAUCUGUGAAUGAUGCAGCCAACAAGGGAUUAAUUUCAAAAACAUGCAGACAGCUCAUAUCAGUUUAGUCGUUCAGUUGUAUCCGACACUUUGCGACACCAUGGACUGCAGCACUCCAGGCUUACUUGUAAAUCACCAACUCCCAAAGCUUAAUCAAACUCACGUCCACUGAGUCAGUGAUGCCAUCCAACCAACUCAUCCUCUGUCAUCCCCUUCUCCCACCUUCAGUCUUUCCCAGAAUCAGGUUCUUUUCCAAUGAGUCAGUUCUUUGCAUCAGGUGGCCAAAGUAUUGGAGUUUCAGCUUCAGCAUCAGUCCUUCCAAUGAAUAUUCAGGACUGGUUUCCUUUAGGAUGGACUGGUUGGAUCUCCUUGCAGUCCAAGGGACUCUUUCAAGAGUCUCCUCAAACACCACAGUUCAAAAGCAUCAAUUCCUCUGUGCUCAGCUUUCUUUAUAGUCCAACUCUCACAUCUAUACAUGACUACUGGAAAAAACAUAGCUUUAACUAGAUGGACCUUUGUUGGCAAAGUAAUGUCUCUGCUUUUUAAUAUGCUGUCUAGGUUGGUCACAACUUUUCUUCCAAGGAGUGAGCCUUUUUUAAUUUCAUGACUUCAGUCACCAUCUGCGGUGAUUUUGGAGCCCUCCAAAAUAAAGUUUGUCACUGUUUCCAUUGUUUCCCCAUCUACUUGCCAUGAAGUGAUGGGACCAGAUGCCAUGAUCUUCGUUUUCUGAAUGUUGAGCUUUAAGCCAACUUUUUCACUCUCCUCUUUACUUUCAUCAAGAGGCUUUUUAGUUCCUCUUCACUUUCUGCCAUAAGGGUGGUGUCAUCUGCAUAUCUGAGAUUAUUGAGAUUUCUCCUGGCAAUCUUGAUUCCAGCUUGUGCUUCUUCCAGCCCAGCGUUUCUCCUGAUGUACUCUGCAUGUAAGUUAAAUAAGCAGGGUGACAAUAUACAGCCUUGACGUACUCCUUUUCCUAUUUGGAACCAGUCUGUUGUUCCAUGUCCAGUUCUAACUGUUGCUUCCUGACCUGCAUACAGAUUUCUCAAGAAGCAGGUCAGGUGGUCUGGUAUUCCCAUCUCUUUUAGAAUUUUCCACAGUUUAUUGUGAUCCACACAAUCAAAGGCUUUGGCGUAGUCAAUAAAGCAGAAAUAGAUGUUUUUCUGGAACUCUCUCGCUUUUUUGAUGAUCCAGCAGAUGUUUGCAGUUUGAUCUCUGGUUCCUCUGCCUUUUCUAAAACCAGCUUGAACAUCUGGAAGUUCACGGUUCACGUAUUG